CCUGAGGAGCCAGGUGCCUGAAACUUCCUCCACCUUCUUGAGGAGCACCAAAGCCCAGGUGCUGGCUGGACAACCCCUUCUGGCUGCCUAAGCAGGUGGCAGAAGAAGGAAACAAGGUCAGAGGCAGAGUAUUGAACCCUGCCUCCCAGUUAAAGAACUCUUUCAAAAGACCUCAUGACUGGUCUCACAGAGAUUCAAAGGUGUUUGAGUCCUUCCUUAUUAUGCCCUUGGAAGAUGCUUUGAGGACCCCAGUGAUGAAUCCCAAGUACUCUGUCUCCAUUAUCCCUGGUAUAGGGCACCUCAUCACUCUGGUGUUAUCCCUGAAGGGCCUUCAUAAUAAUGUGCUUAAAGAGUCCCCUAUUAUGUCCUUCAGGAUGGAGCUUGACUUGCCCAAAUUGCUAUGUACAUGUUAAAGAGAGGCUGGAACUGAAGUUGGUCAUUUCUCACUGGAUCAGUCAACAAGAUUUGAGUACUUUCUGUGUGCUCUGCAUCAUUCUGAG
ensembl:lncRNA novel transcript